CAUUGGGCGCUCCGGCGCAGGAAAUACGGCGGCCAUCUUAGAGCGGUAUACCCUCGUACUUUGCUGAACCAAAACAACAGAAGAUGCCUCAGUUCUGCUCGGCUUAUUCGUGUUUAAAUCUACGAACUGUUGAUGUCAGGGACCGGGGGAUAACUUUUCACAAGUUUCCAAAAGAUAAAGAGAGGAGGAAGAGGUGAGAAAUAGCUUUGAGGAGGGAUGGAUUCACUGCAAGUGAUUCAUCUGUACUAUGCAGUGAGCAUUUCAAAACAGAGGAUUUUGACAAAACAGGUCAGAUUGUCAGACUGAGAGCUGAUGUGAUACCAUCAAUUUUCAGCUUCCCAGUUCACCUUCAAAGAGUUGAAAACUACAGAACUACAAUAACCUCCACAAAAGCCCAAAGUAGUGAGUAUGUGGCCUCUCAAGAUGACCCAGAAACUUGUAGUUCAGACCUGCAACCUCAGUCUAAUGAUGAUCAUUGCUAUGCUUUGCCAGCUUCUCUUACCGCUGUCACUGCAAAACAUAAGAGAGCGUUGGCAAGAGUGGAAUAUCUGGAGCGGGACAAGAAAAACACCAUGGCCAGAGAGAAGAGGGCAAAGACCACAGCAAAGUCACUUUUGGGGGAAUUGAGUGAAAAAAAUCUCAUUACUGAAGAACUCAAAGAACGGCUUGAAUUCUACUCUGAUCUACAACUAGAGUUUAUGGAGAAAAAGGGCCAUGAAUACUCCAACGAAUAUAGAGAGUUUGCCCUCACACUUCAUCUCCAUGGCCCAAAGGCAUACAAAUACCUUAGAGAGAAGCGAAGAUUUCCCCUCCCACAUCCGCACACAUUACAAAGGUGGUUGUGUUCAGUAGAUGACAGGCCUGGCUUGAACAAGAUGAUGCUGGACAUGCUGGAGAGAAAAUGCCAGGAAGACCAUGCUAAAUAUGGAUUUGUUGCACUCAUUUUGGAUGCAAUGGCAAUCAGAAAACAUGUGCAAUAUAAUCUACAUACA